rnacentral:rRNA from 1 species
UAGGGUCAAGUGACUAAGAGCAUGUGGUGGAUGCCUUGGCGAUGAUAGGCGACGAAAGACGUGAUAGCCUGCGAUAAGCUUCGGGGAGCUGGCAAAUAAGCUUUGAUCCGGAGAUUUCUGAAUGGGGAAACCCACCUCGCAAGAGGUAUCGCAUGAUGAAUACAUAGUCAUGCGAGGCGAACCGGGUGAACUGAAACAUCUCAGUAGCUCGAGGAAAAGACAUCAACCGAGAUUCCGAAAGUAGUGGCGAGCGAAAUCGGAGGAGCCUUCUAGUGAUAGCACGACUGUUAACAAAACGGAAUGGAAAGUCCGGCCAUAGUAGGUGAUAGCCCUGUAUGUGAAAGCAGACGUGUGGUACUGAGCUAGAGAAAAGUAGGGCGGGGCACGAGAAACCCUGUCUGAAUAUGGGGGGACCAUCCUCCAAGGCUAAAUACUCAUCAUCGACCGAUAGUGAACAAGUACCGUGAGGGAAAGGCGAAAAGAACCCCGGGAGGGGAGUGAAAUAGAUCCUGAAACCGCAUGCUUACAAAAAGUCGGAGCCCGCAAGGGUGACGGCGUACCUUUUGUAUAAUGGGUCAGCGACUUACAUUCAGUGGCAAGGUUAACCGAAUAGGGAAGCCGUAGAGAAAUCGAGUCCGAAUAGGGCGUCCAGUCGCUGGGUGUAGACCCGAAACCAAGUGAUCUAUCCAUGGCCAGGAUGAAGGUGCCGUAACAGGUACUGGAGGUCCGAACCGACUAGUGUUGCAAAACUAGCGGAUGAGCUGUGGAUAGGGGUGAAAGGCUAAACAAACUUGGAAAUAGCUGGUUCUCUCCGAAAACUAUUUAGGUAGUGCCUCAAGUAUUACCUUCGGGGGUAGAGCACUGUUUUGGCUAGGGGGUCAUGGCGACUUACCAAACCAAGGCAAACUCCGAAUACCGAAGAGUAGAGCUUGGGAGACAGAGCACCGGGUGCUAACGUCCGGACUCAAGAGGGAAACAACCCAGACCGCCAGCUAAGGUCCCUAAAAUUGGCUAAGUGGGAAACGAAGUGGGAAGGCUAAAACAGUCAGGAUGUUGGCUUAGAAGCAGCCAUCAUUUAAAGAAAGCGUAAUAGCUCACUGAUCGAGUCGUCCUGCGCGGAAGAUGUAACGGGGCUAAGCCAGUUACCGAAGCUGCGGAUGCACAGUUUACUGUGCGUGGUAGGAGAGCGUUCUGUAAGCCUGUGAAGGUGUCUGGUAACGGAUGCUGGAGGUAUCAGAAGUGCGAAUGCUGACAUGAGUAGCGUUAAAGGGGGUGAAAAGCCCCCUCGCCGUAAGCGCAAGGUUUUCUACGCAACGUUCAUCGGCGUAGAGUGAGUCGGCCCCUAAGGCGAGGCAGAGAUGCGUAGUUGAUGGGAAACAGGUCAAUAUUCCUGUACCGAUGUGUAGUGCGAUGUGGGGACGGAGAAGGUUAGCUCAGCCAACUGUUGGAUAUGUUGGUUCAAGCCUGUAGUCGUGCCCGGUAGGCAAAUCCGCCGGGCUUAGAUGAGGGGUGAUAACGAGUCUGCUUGCAGACGAAGUGAGUGAUACCCUGCUUCCAGGAAAAGCCACUAAGCUUCAGCUACACACGACCGUACCGCAAACCGACACUGGUGCGCGAGAUGAGUAUUCUAAGGCGCUUGAGAGAACUCAGGAGAAGGAACUCGGCAAAUUGAUACCGUAACUUCGGGAGAAGGUAUGCCGCAAGUAGGUGAACUUGUACAAAGGGAGCCCAAAGCGGUUGCAAAAAAUCGGUGGCUGCGACUGUUUAAUAAAAACACAGCACUCUGCAAACACGAAAGUGGACGUAUAGGGUGUGA